AGGGCUAUAGUAUAGUGGUUGUACGUUCGAGAUCCAAUCGAGAGGGGCCGGUUCGAUUCCGGCUAGACCUU
rnacentral:tRNA from 1 species